GGCUUUUUUUUUUGUCUCUGUAUCCUUCAGUUCAGCUCUGAUCUUGGUUAUUUCUUGUCCUUUGCUACCUUUGGGCUUGGUUUGCUCUUAGUUCUCUAGUUUUUUUAGUUGUCAUUUUAGGUUGUUAACUCAUGAUCUUUCUAGCUUUUUGAUGUCAGUAUUUAGUGGUAUAAAUUUCCCUCUUAAUACUGCUUUAGCUAUGUCCCAGUGAUUCUAGUACACUGCCUCUUUUUUCUCAUUAGUUUCAACAAACUUCUUGAUUUCUGCCCAUAUUUCAUUAUUUACUGAGGGGUCAUUCAAUUUCUUUGCACUUAAGUGGUUUUGAGUGCAUUUCUCAAUCUGGAGUUCUAAUUUGAUUGUACUGUUGUCUAGAGACUGUUGGUUGUGAUUUCAGUUCUUUUGCGUUUGCUGAGGAAUGUUUUACUUCCACUUAUGUGAUCAACUUUAGAGUAAGUGCUGUGUGCUGAGAAGAAUGUGUA